rnacentral:lncRNA from 1 species
AAGAAAGCCCUGAAAUUCAUUUUGAAAGCAGAAGUCAUUCCGGAUCUUGGGAGGACAGAAGUACAAGGCUCAGGCAGUUAUUUACUGAUGUAAUUAAUUGAUAUUGGUCAAACACAAAAGUCUUUGAGGAUCGUUGAAGGCAAUUCGGUCUGCGGGAGUUCAUAUUCUUUAUUACGGUUUGUUUCCCUGGAGACCUCAUUUUCCCCUGUUAUAAAUAACCCCAACGUGUCUUGCCAGUCCAGGUGUCCGACCCUUUGAUACGAUUCUGAUUUUUCGGACAGAAAAACAGUGCCCGAGGAUCUGUCCCUGGCUGCUGUUGGCUGCUUGUUGAAGAUCCACUCCACGGCUGCUGAAGCUCCUGGGGGUAAUCUUGAGACAGAUGAACCAAGUCUGGAGACCCACCUGCAAAGUUCCAGAGAUGACUUCAAGGUGGCGAGUCAACAGCCUCACCAUUGUUGAGAUGACACCAGCCCGUGAUCCAGGUAAACUGGGACCCAAGAUAGCCACCAGAACAAGGUACACAGACGUUGUACUCAGCACAAUUCUUGCAAGCUUUUCACAUCAAGUUUUCCUUUUUUAAACCCCUGUCUUCCUCUCUGCCAAAUUGAAGUGGUUGCUUUGGAUGGGAACCCGGCCACUUGUUCUUUAUUAGUUUGAGUGAAUAAAGUCACUUUCUUUCUACCAGAACUCAUUCUUGUUAACUGGAUUCUGCAGGCGGUGAGCAUCCGGACCUCUGUUCAGUUACACGAUGAAAACCUCCAGAGCAUAAUGGCCCCUCCUUCAUUCACCUCCCAGGUCUCAUGGCUUCACUGUGGCCAGCUCUAGCUCGGAACCAUAUGUAUAUAGGGAAAGAGAUUCUGAGAAACUCCCACAUCACAAGUUGAUUAUAGCCCAAUCCAUCACAGCUACAUUUCCUAAUAUUUCUGAGUUUGCAUCUCAUCUGCUCAUCUGGUAAAGAGUAUGGUGACAUGACUGCAUCAUAGCCUGGUUGUAUCACCUGAGAUGAUGUAAAACUGUAAAAUGCCAGGUGGUAUAUGUAUUAUUAUUCCAACCAGUCGGUCAGCUUUUAUUUUAGAGAAGCAGAAUCAGAGGUAAUAGGGAAGAAGAAACAGUGUAUGUAUCAAUGGAUGUGUUCUAAGAUAAGAUGACGACCUGACACAGACAGCCAGUUCUAGUUGGCAGGGGUAGGGGGUGGCAUGAAUACUUCUAGUUUGAUGUUGUGAGAUUUGUCUGGAAAGCACGGGUUGCCUGUGUGGAAGAGUUUUGCCUUCUUUCCACUUCUGCCAUAGCCCUUCAGAUGUGCUUCUCCUAUAUCCCAUACGUGAUGUACACAUGUUUAGUUGGUUUGUAUGAGCAGUGGCAGCGGAGGCCAGGUCUUGGCUUCCUGGCUGCCACUGGCCCUGGUUACCAUGGACAUAAGUAUUUCCCUUUCAUUCAGGGCAGGGGUUCAUGGCCCCUCCUGCAAACAACAGUGUGCGUCCACGUGACUAUUAAACUGUCAAAUUCACAAGACCCACUCCAAAAUAAACCCUUAUGGUCUCCACAAGCCUAUUUCUCCUCACUACUAUCUGGGAAGCACAGACUUUAGGAAGGGCUUCAUGUUUUAUAAAAAUGCCAGUGAUUAUCUGGAAAAAAUGACACCCAAUUUUCCACCACAUCCUAAGACCUACGGGUGUCUACCUAAAAGCUAAUAUGUUGUCAUGUUCCUGCCAUCUCAGAUAUGAAGCUGAAGAUAUUUCAUAUGUAUGUCCCAGAAAUGAAUGAAGAAGAAAUAUACAGUUGCUUGACUACAUGACAUGCAGCUCCCUGUUGCUUAUUCUGAAUGUGCCCUGCCUCUAGGAGGAGCUGUAGAUCUGUGGUACUGGUAACACUAGGCCCACUAGCCUUAUCAUCAUGCACAGCUUUUGUGUUUUCUUCCUCCCUCAGCUUCCACACAACAGCCCUGAUGUUUACCAGCAGGCGUCUCUUGUUUAGUCUCAUUGUCUUUGGCAAGUUCAAUCUCAACCAGAUUGUUGUUCUUCUCAAGAGGACUGAUCCCAGCAGGCUCCAGCCCUAAAGCGGACUGUUCGGGAGAUCUGUGUUAACUUUGUGUUUCAGUCCUCAGUCUCACGGUACUGGGUCCUACCGUGAGCGGAAAAUCCCUCUCUACAUCAGAACAGCCUUCUGGCCAUGCUACAGUCCUCGCUCAGAAACACGGUAUGUGUCUCUGCUACCCGUCUGCUCACCUGCAUCUCCUACAUCCUAUCCAGCAUUCUCCCGUCCACACCACUGGGCACAUCAGAUUUAGCAAAUGAUCAGUUAAUUUACACUCAUUAAGCAGCAGUCUCUACGAUGAAUCUCUUCUAAGCUCAGGACAUUUGACACACACUUUGCAAAAAUCAUUAUGUGUCAUUGUGGCGAGCUGGCAGGUUCCCAGUUAUGCUGAACAAUGAAAAAGGGAUAAAGCUCUGCAAAAGAUAGAGUGGGGAGAGAAAGAAAUCUGCAUCGCAUUGUCAGGACUAAACAUUCUUUAAAGAAACCUACAGUGAGGCACACCAUAUAUAAAUAUGAUGGAUAAGCAGUGAGUGUGUAAAGACCUUGUGACUACUGAAUGUUUUGUAAAAGGUACGUAUCCAAAAUAAUUAAAAUCAGGACCUCAAAGAACUAUCUGCACUUCCAUGUUCAUUGCAGCAUUAUUCAUAAUAGCCCAAAUGUGGAAACCAUCUAAAUGCUCAUUGACAGAUGAAUGGAUAAAGAAAAUGUGGCACAUAUAUACCAUCAAAUAUUAUUUAGCCUUAAUACAGCAGAAAAUCCUGCCAUAUGCAAAAACAUGACUGAACCUACAGGAUGUUAUGGUAAGUGAAAUGAACCAAUCACAGAAGGAUAAACCCUACAUGGUUCCACUUCCUAAAGCAGGCAGACUUGUACAGAGAGUAGAGAGGUGCUUGCCAGGGGCUUGGGAUAAGGGGAAAUGGGAGGCGUUCCAUGGGUACAAAGUUUCAGUUGUGCAAAAUGAAAUAAGUUCUAGAUAUUUGCUGUAUCCUACUGUGCUUUCAGUUAACAAGACUUAAACAUUUAUGGAGAGAGUAGAUCUCAUGUUAAGUGUUCUUAUCACAAAAAAAAGAAAGAAAGAAAAGAAAG